GGAAACCAUUGUUCCAGGGGAGUAAAAAUGAGGACCUGUGCUUAGUAGUAGAAGGAAGGCAAAAUUCUCACAUUUUGGAUGACAACAAUUGGAGAACAUCUGGCACCAACUGAAGUAAUGAGGACUUAUAACCUGACUUUUUACCUUUUCCACUAAGAAUAUAUAAGAAAGAAACUGUCAAAGAAGUAAAAGAGGAAAAUGCACUGUCACAGGUUACAAGAAUUUCAAGAAGAUGAAGUCUGAUGGGACAGUGGAGCAUGGGCAGGACACUUUGAGCCUCUGCUCACAUGUGGUCCCACUUCCCACCACCUCUGCACCUCCUGCCUCUCUGGGUUCUUGGCUGCCCACUCCCCACCUGUAGUGCUCUGGGUGGCAAGUAAGAUGGGGACUCCGAGGCUCCAAGAUGCGAAAGAGCAUGGUUACAAGGCCUUGUGUGGCUCAUUAUGAUGUGAUACUACCUCCCUGGGGAUGCGGCUGAAGAUGGAGUUAAGAAAUGAUAAGAAAGAAGCUCUGCGGCUUUGUUCUAUUAGCAAGACCGGAUGGAGUGUUUGUGAAACAGCAGUGAAAUCUCUUGGAACAAAAUGAGAUCACUCCCGCAAUAGUUCUGCCCCAAAGCAUAUUUAUAAGCAAGAAUCUUAAGCCAGGGCGGGGCCUCACAUUUUGCUGCUAAGUGAGGUCGGGCAGAAGCUAGAGGAAACCGAUCUAGAUAAACUUGCUGCCCGAGGAGGUGCUGUUCGUGGAAACAUCUAUUUACCACAAGGCUGGCGAAUGCUGGUCAUGGGCCUAACGAAGUAAGGGAAGUGUGUGCCUGGUGGAAAAUGUCCCAACUGCUGCGGGAAACAGAGCCCAGGAAACAGCAACAAUAAACAUUUACAGAAAAGAGAAUCACACUUCUCAGCUCGCCAAUGAAGGACAUUUGCAUUCAGAAUAAUGAAAACAGAACAUAAAUUGUUUUUUUGGUAGAAACAUAUUGCAGGAUGAAGCAGAAGAUAGUUGAGCUAAAUCUUCAUCUACUGUAAUGUCUAAAAUUGAUGAACAGUAGCAGCAUAAGCAUAUUCUUUAGAAACAUGGGCCUCGUUCAAGAACAAAGACCUUGAAAGAGCAGAAAUUCCAUGCUGCUGGAGAGCGAAAUGGAUAUGUAUGAGAGAACUAUAUCCUCAACAGUGAGCUCAUGGAUCCCAUUCAACUCCCGAAAUCAGGUGCAUGUAUUACUCUGAUAAGAUAACAUUUAAAAAAAAAUGGAAAUUUGUCCACUUCCAUAACUCAGUGCAUUGGAAAGUCAGUAUGACUAAUUCCUCAUUCCCCGUGUAAAGACAAAAGAUCACAGCUUCUCCCAUCUUGCACAUUCCUUAGUUUGGAGCCGUUUAUCCUGUGCGAUCCAAAAACACUGUAACUGGGGCAGUGAAUUCCCCUGGGCUAGCCUGUCUAUGAAGGUCUAUUUUCAACAUUUCCGGGUUUUCUGCACACACAGGCUUCACAUGCAGGAGCUCUUGUUGAAGGAGGAAUCAUUUGAUGACAUUGAAAUACUUUGCAAUGAGACAAACAUUUGCAAUCAUUUUGGGGGGAAUGUACCCCUUACAUUGCCACCAAUGAGCAUAAAUUUGCAUUCUGAAUGAAGAGGAAAACAAAGUAGUGAAAUGUUAGGCAAGUCUUGGUUUGUAAAGAUGGGGACUAGUCCCCUGGGAGUUUGUACGAUUCCUCUCAUGAAGUCAUUUGUACUUCUUCAUUGUUUAUUUGCACAUACCUGGCUUCACACAAGUAAGAAAAAUUUUUAUUUCUUCUGCUCCUCCCUUAGUUAUACACCAGCUGCCUUACCUGAAACUUGAAGACUGGGGCGAGGCUGCUUCAAACAAAAGUACCAAAGCUCAGAGCCAGAGAAUUCUCUGGGCACAAAGGCUUUGCAAUAGAGAACUGUAUAAUGGGGCAGGGGGGUCAGCGGCAGACCGAUGCCCCUGCCCCACAGCCCAGGCUAACCAGGUUCCUUACUGUCCUCGGUCAUGGAGAUGCCAAUAGCACUCACUUCAGCCAGGUAAACGAUGAUUCUAAACCCAACGGUCUCCAGUCUCCGGGUGGGGUUGGACACGUGUGCCUGGGGAGAGCCAUCCUAAGCCCCAGACUGCAAGAGCGCCCCUGACUUGCAUGCCAGGCACACCGCCAGUCAGUUCUGCGGCAACUGUGGCUCAGCUCAGGGCUCCUUGCCUUCAGUCCACACUCCAGGGCCUUCCAGACCAGGAAGACAAAUGAAGAAAGAAGAUAGUUUGGGGAUUACUGCUGCCCAGGCCACCUAUGGAACUGUUUGGAAUAUCAAAAACCUGUUGAGGGGCGCCUGGGUGGCUCAGACGGUUAAGUGUCUGCCUUCGGCUCAGGUCAUAAUCCUAGGGUCCUGGGAUCGAGCCCCGCAUCUGGCUCCCUGCUCC